rnacentral:rRNA from 1 species
AACGAACGCUGGCGGCGUGCCUAACACAUGCAAGUCGAGCGGGAAAGUUCCCUUCGGGGAGCGAGUACAGCGGCGAACGGGUGAGUAACACGUAGGUAACCUACCCUGGAGACUGGGAUAACCUGCCGAAAGGCGGGCUAAUACCAGAUAAGACCACGAGGGCUGCGGCCCUUGAGGUAAAAGAUGGCCUAUGCUUGCAAGCUAUCACUCCGGGGAUGGGCCUGCGCGCCAUAGCUAGUUGGUGAGGUGACGGCUCACCAAGGCAGAGAUGGCUAGCUGGUCUGAGAGGAUGGCCAGCCACACUGGGACUGAGACACGGCCCAGACUCCUACGGGAGGCAGCAGUGGGGAAUAUUGCGCAAUGGGCGAAAAGCCUGACGCAGCGACGCCGCGUGGGUGAUGAAGGCC